ensembl:lncRNA
AAAGUGCAGUCCGUCUCCAAGGCCAUCUACCUAGAAAGAGAAAAAGCAGUGCAGUCCGUCUCCAAGGCCAUCUAACUAGAAAGAGAAAAAGCAGUGCAGUCCGUCUCUAAGGCCAUCUAACUAGAAAGAGAAAAAGCAGUGCAGUCCGUCUCCAAGGCCAUCUAACUAGAAAGAGAAAAAGCAGUGCAGUCCGUCUCCAAGGUCAUCUAACUAGAAAGAUAAAUAGAAAGUGCUGUCCAUCUCCAAGGCCAUCUAACUAGAAAGAUAAAUAGAAAGUGCUGUCCAUCUCCAAGGCCAUCUAACUAGAAAGAGAAAUAGAAAGUGAAAAGAAAUAAGGAAGAUCAGUGGUGUUGCUUUCUGGGGUUUAAAAAGAAAAUCCUCUCUGAAAUCAUGAAAGAGCUGAUAACUGUGUGUUUUGUUUUUCUGUGUGUGAGACUGUGUGUGUGUGUGUGAGACUGUGUGUGUGUGUGAGAGACUGUGUGUGUGUGAGACUGUGUGUGUGUGUGUGAGACUGUGUGUGUGUGUGUGUGAGACUGUGUGUGUGUGUGUGUGUGUGUGAGACUGUGUGUGUGUGUGUGAGACUGUGUGUGUGUGUGAGAGACUGUGUGUGUGUGUGUGUGAGACUGUGUGUGUGUGAGACUGUGUGUGUGAGAGUGUUUGUGACGGUGUAUCUGUGACUAUGUGUGUGUGCGUGCGUGACGGUGUCUGUGAGACUGAACAACAAAACAUGAUUGUACAACCAUCUAAUGUGCCCACAUCAGGAAGGAAGAAGAAAGGUAUUUUUUGAGAGAGAGAGAGAGAGACAGAGAGAGACAGAGAGACAGAGAGAGAGAGAGAGAGAGAGAGCUGAGUCUGUCUGAAAGUGAGUUUGAGUUUAAUGGAGGAGCCUCUCUCCCUCUCUCCCCCAGUUAGAACCAACUUCCCCCAGACAGACCACGCUGCUCCGUCACACAUACAGUAUCAGUAACAGGUUGUUGGUCGACAGGCAAACUGACGGUCCAGGCUGGUAAAUUGGCAACUAGUACAUUGUUACAUGGUGGUCCUCCUGCAAUACUUU